rnacentral:rRNA from 1 species
GACGAACGCUGGCGGCGUGCCUAAUACAUGCAAGUAGAACGCUGAAGAGAGGAGCUUGCUCUUCUUGGAUGAGUUGCGAACGGGUGAGUAACGCGUAGGUAACCUGCCUUGUAGCGGGGGAUAACUAUUGGAAACGAUAGCUAAUACCGCAUAACAAUGGAUGACACAUGUCAUUUAUUUGAAAGGGGCAAUUGCUCCACUACAAGAUGGACCUGCGUUGUAUUAGCUAGUAGGUGAGGUAACGGCUCACCUAGGCGACGAUACAUAGCCGACCUGAGAGGGUGAUCGGCCACACUGGGACUGAGACACGGCCCAGACUCCUACGGGGGGCAGUAGUAGGGAAUCUUCGGCAAUGGGGGCAACCCUGACCGAGCAACGCCGCGUGAGUGAAGAAGGUUUUCGGAUCGUAAAGCUCUGUUGUAAGUCAAGAACGAGUGUGAGAGUGGAAAAUUCACACUGUGACGGUAGCUUACCAGAAAGGGACGGCUAACUACGUGCCAGCAGCCGCGGUAAUACGUAGGUCCCGAGCGUUGUCCGGAUUUAUUGGGCGUAAAGCGAGCGCAGGCGGUUUGAUAAGUCUGAAGUUAAAGGCUGUGGCUCAACCAUAGUUCGCUUUGGAAACUGUCAAACUUGAGUGCAGAAGGGGAGAGUGGAAUUCCAUGUGUAGCGGUGAAAUGCGUAGAUAUAUGGAGGAACACCGGUGGCGAAAGCGGCUCUCUGGUCUGUAACUGACGCUGAGGCUCGAAAGCGUGGGGAGCGAACAGGAUUAGAUACCCUGGUAGUCCACGCCGUAAACGAUGAGUGCUAGGUGUUGGAUCCUUUCCGGGAUUCAGUGCCGCAGCUAACGCAUUAAGCACUCCGCCUGGGGAGUACGACCGCAAGGUUGAAACUCAAAGGAAUUGACGGGGGCCCGCACAAGCGGUGGAGCAUGUGGUUUAAUUCGAAGCAACGCGAAGAACCUUACCAGGUCUUGACAUCCCGAUGCUAUUUCUAGAGAUAGAAAGUUACUUCGGUACAUCGGUGACAGGUGGUGCAUGGUUGUCGUCAGCUCGUGUCGUGAGAUGUUGGGUUAAGUCCCGCAACGAGCGCAACCCCUAUUGUUAGUUGCCAUCAUUCAGUUGGGCACUCUAGCGAGACUGCCGGUAAUAAACCGGAGGAAGGUGGGGAUGACGUCAAAUCAUCAUGCCCCUAUGACCUGGGCUACACACGUGCUACAAUGGUUGGUACAACGAGUUGCGAGUCGGUGACGGCAAGCUAAUCUCUUAAAGCCAAUCUCAGUUCGGAUUGUAGGCUGCAACUCGCCUACAUGAAGUCGGAAUCGCUAGUAAUCGCGGAUCAGCACGCCGCGGUGAAUACGUUCCCGGGCCU